rnacentral:rRNA from 1 species
AUUGAACGCUGGCGGCAGGCUUAACACAUGCAAGUCGAGCGGUAGCACAAGAGAGCUUGCUCUCUGGGUGACGAGCGGCGGGCGGGGGGGUAAUGUCUGGGAAACUGCCUGAUGGAGGGGGAUAACUACUGGAAACGGUAGCUAAUACCGCAUAACGUCGCAAGACCAAAGAGGGGGACCUUCGGGCCUCUUGCCAUCAGAUGUGCCCAGAUGGGAUUAGCUAGUAGGUGGGGUAAUGGCUCACCUAGGCGACGAUCCCUAGCUGGUCUGAGAGGAUGACCAGCCACACUGGAACUGAGACACGGUCCAGACUCCUACGGGAGGCAGCAGUGGGGAAUAUUGCACAAUGGGCGCAAGCCUGAUGCAGCCAUGCCGCGUGUGUGAAGAAGGCCUUCGGGUUGUAAAGCACUUUCAGCGAGGAGGAAGGUGGUGAACUUAAUACGUUCAUCAAUUGACGUUACUCGCAGAAGAAGCACCGGCUAACUCCGUG